GGACCAUAGCCCAGUGGCAGGGCAUCUACUUCGCAUGCGGAAGGUCCCAGGUUCAGUCCCCUGCAUCUCCA